CCUACGGGUGGCAGCAGUGGGGAAUAUUGCACAAUGGGGGAAACCCUGAUGCAGCGACGCCGCGUGAGUGAAGAAGUAAUUCGUUAUGUAAAGCUCUAUCAGCAGGGUAGCAAAUGACGGUACCUGAGUCAGAAGCCCCGGCUAACUACGUGCCAGCAGCCGCGGUCAUACGUCAGGGGGAAGCGUUAUCCGGAUGUACUCGGUGGAAAGGGAGCCUAGACGGCAAUGCAAGGCUCGAGGUAAAGGCGGGGGCUGAACCCCCGGACUGCUGUGGAAACUGUACGGCUGGAGUGCAGGAGAGGUAAGUGGAAGGCCUAGUGUAGCGGUGAAAUGCGUAGAUAUUAGGAGGAACACCAGUGGCGAAGGCGGCUUACUGGACUGUAACUGACGUUGAGGCUCGAAAGCGUGGGGAGCAAACAGGAUUAGAUACCCGUGUAGUC
rnacentral:rRNA from 1 species